UCCUGCUCAAUUUCGCAAGUUGUUUCCACCUACGAAAUGGUCUGCCGAGUUCAAUGCAGCUUUAACUGUACCAUUCUUCCAAUGGCUUGUUGGUCCUUCUGAGGUAUAACUCGCAAAAAUCUCUUUUCCUGAUGAUAUGCUAAUCUCUGAAACAGAGAAUUCGCACAGGGUUAAUUAAAAACAAAACAAAAACACCUAGCCAGUAGCAACUAGUGUAACAGUAAAAUCUAGAUGGAUAUGAAUAUAUGAUAAUACCAUUCUACAGUUAAAUAUUGAUGUGCUAAUACCAUGCUAAAAAUAUGACAAUCAUCAAUACCUGGGUAACUCUAAAAAUAUUUAUGUGCUGGAAUCCUCUAAAAUCUCUAAUGGAUGAAUGAUGAUCAUUCUUGCACAAUACUCAGGUUGUGGAGGUGGAAAUAGAAGGAAUCAAGCAAAGAAGUGGAGUGCACAUAAAGAAAUGU
rnacentral:lncRNA from 1 species